rnacentral:rRNA from 1 species
CUUAGAGUUGAUCCUGGCUCAGAACGAACGCUGGCGGCAGGCCUAACACAUGCAAGUCGAGCGCUUCACUUCGGUGAGGAGCGGCGGACGGGUUAGUAACGCGUGGGAAUAUACCCUUCACUAUGGAAUAGCCUCGGGAAACUGAGAGUAAUACCAUAUACGCCCUUCGGGGGAAAGAUUUAUCGGUGAAGGAUUAGCCCGCGUAAGAUUAGAUAGUUGGUGGGGUAAUGGCCUACCAAGUCUACGAUCUUUAGCUGGUUUGAGAGGAUGAUCAGCAACACUGGGACUGAGACACGGCCCAGACUCCUACGGGAGGCAGCAGUGGGGAAUCUUAGACAAUGGGCGCAAGCCUGAUCUAGCCAUGCCGCGUGAGUGACGAAGGUCUUAGGAUCGUAAAGCUCUUUCGCCAGAGAUGAUAAUGACAGUAUCUGGUAAAGAAACCCCGGCUAACUCCGUGCCAGCAGCCGCGGUAAUACGGAGGGGGUUAGCGUUGUUCGGAAUUACUGGGCGUAAAGCGUACGUAGGCGGAUUGGAAAGUAGGGGGUGAAAUCCCAGGGCUCAACCCUGGAACUGCCUCCUAAACUAUCAGUCUAGAGUUCGAGAGAGGUGAGUGGAAUACCAAGUGACAGGUGCUGCAUGGCUGUCGUCAGCUCGUGA